rnacentral:rRNA from 1 species
UACGAAGGGGGCUAGCGUUGCUCGGAAUCACUGGGCGUAAAGGGUGCGUAGGCGGGUCUUUAAGUCAGGGGUGAAAUCCUGGAGCUCAACUCCAGAACUGCCUUUGAUACUGAGGAUCUUGAGUUCGGGAGAGGUGAGUGGAACUGCGAGUGUAAAGGUGAAAUUCGUAGAUAUUCGCAAGAACACCAGUGGCGAAGGCGGCUCACUGGCCCGAUACUGACGCUGAGGUGCGAAAGCGUGGGGAGCAAACAGG